UGGGGAAUUUUGCGCAAUGGGGGCAACCCUGACGCAGCAACGCCGCGUGCGGGACGACGGCCUUCGGGUUGUAAACCGCUUUCAGCAGGGAAGAACCUCUGACGGUACCUGCAGAAGAAGCCCCGGCUAACUACGUGCCAGCAGCCGCGGUAAUACGUAGGGGGCGAGCGUUAUCCGGAAUGAUUGGGCGUAAAGCGCGCGCAGGCGGCCGCUCAAGCGGGACCUCUAACCCCGGGGCUCAACCCCGGGCCGGGUCCCGAACUGGGCGGCUCGAGUGCGGUAGGGGAGAGCGGAAUUCCAAGUGUAGCGGUGAAAUGCGCAGAUAUUUGGAAGAACACCGAUGGCGAAGGCAGCUCUCUGGGCCGUCACUGACGCUGAGGCGCGAAAGCCGGGGGAGCGAACAGG
rnacentral:rRNA from 1 species